AACUGUCCGCUCACCCUGCUGAAUCCUCUUGAGAUCCUCCUCGAUCUUCUGUUUCACGCUGUUGGGAAAAAACAUCCCAAACACCAUUCCACAGAACUUAUCCCACUUCAUCUAUAGCGGCACCAAUCCAUAAUCUCGCCUCACCCUUUUCCACCAGGCGUGAGCGUCGGCUGCCAAACAGUGAACUCCCAAGUGUACCUGCUCUCUUUCCGGAACGAACAGAUUCUUGAAUAGCUUCUCCAUCGCACUGACCCAGCCUUCAACAACCCAGGCCUCAGUGCAUCUG
rnacentral:lncRNA from 1 species